AUCAUUAUCAAAAUCAUAUGUUGAAAAAUAUAGUUUUAUUCUUUCUUGGCUAUAUAUUUACAUGAAAUUUAAAUCUGACUCCAAACACCAGUAGUGGAAUUUUCUAGCCACUUCACAUAAUACUUUUGCCUUUAGAGUGGUAUCCAGCCCUUGAUUAAUCCUUUCUCUGUACCACAUAGAACAAUGUCAUUGGCAGUGAUGAGGCUUGUUAUUCUUGCUGAUAUCCUUCCCACAUUCUGUUGUGUGCCUCUCAGCCAUAUCUGAAGGGUACUAGUUGAUGAGCUGCAAUUCAAGUAUAUAAAGUCUUCUACUGCUUCCAUUGCUACUAUGUUUCUGCCUUUCCCUAUUACUAUUGACAUUUGGGGCUUGUAAUGUGUUCUCCAUUCCUUAACUUUUGAACCCUCAACGAUUGAACUUGCACUGUAAAGCCAAUCUUUGUGCACAGCAAUAGAAUUGAUGGGCUUUUUUUGCAUCCUCCAACUCUUUAUUGGCUGCUUGAUCUCUCUCUCCCUAUUGUUUGCAAUGGCUAAUUCCUGUAUGCUUGAAUCCAUGCAGCCUAUGUAAAGCGUUCCC
rnacentral:misc_RNA from 1 species